rnacentral:rRNA from 1 species
CCUACGAGAGGCAGCAGUGGGGAAUAUUGCACAAUGGGGGGAACCCUGAUGCAGCAACGCCGCGUGGGUGAAGAAGUACUUCGGUAUGUAAAGCCCUGUCAGCAGGGAAGAAAAUGACGGUACCUGAACAAGAAGCCACGGAUAAACACGUGCCAGCAGCCGCGGUAUGACGUAGGGGGAAAGCGGUCUCCGGGUUUACGGGGUGUAAAGGGAGCGUAGACGGCAAGGACAGUCUGGAGUGAAAACCCGGGGCCCAACCCCGGGACUGCUUUGGAAACUGUGUUGCUGGAGUGCAGGAGGGGUAAGCGGAAUUCCUGGUGUAGCGGUGAAAUGCGUAGAUAUUAGGAGGAACACCGGUGGCGAAGGCGGCUUACUGGACUGUAACUGACGUUGAGGCUCGAAGGCGUGGGGAGCAAACAGGAUUAGAUACCCGUGUAGUC